rnacentral:rRNA from 1 species
AUUGAACGCUGGCGGCAUGCCUUACACAUGCAAGUCGAACGGCAGCACGGGUGCUUGCACCUGGUGGCGAGUGGCGAACGGGUGAGUAAUACAUCGGAACAUGUCCUGUAGUGGGGGAUAGCCCGGCGAAAGCCGGAUUAAUACCGCAUACGAUCCACGGAUGAAAGCGGGGGACCUUCGGGCCUCGCGCUAUCGGGUUGGCCGAUGGCUGAUUAGCUAGUUGGUGGGGUCAAGGCCUACCAAGGCGACGAUCAGUAGCUGGUCUGAGAGGACGACCAGCCACACUGGGACUGAGACACGGCCCAGACUCCUACGGGAGGCAGCAGUGGGGAAUUUUGGACAAAGGGCGAAAGCCUGAUCCAGCAAUGCCGCGUGUGUGAAGAAGGCCUUCGGGUUGUAAAGCACUUUUGUCCGGAAAGAAAUCCUUGACUCUAAUACAGUCGGGGGAUGACGGUACCGGAAGAAUAAGCACCGGCUAACUACGUG